rnacentral:rRNA from 1 species
GCCAACGAGGGGUCGGGAGGGGGGGUAUUGCGUAGGGUGCUGUGGUUGGUCGGAUUUACUGGGCGUGAAGAGCUCGUAGGCGGGUGGUCACUGCGUGGGUGAAAACCCGGUGCUGAACCUCGGGCGUGCAGGCGAUACGGGCAGACUUGAGUACGGUAGGGGAGACUGGAAUUCCUGGUGUAGCGGUGGAAUGCGCAGAUAUCAGGAGGAACACCGGUGGCGAAGGCGGGUCUCUGGGCAGUAACUGACGCUGAGGAGCGAAAGCGUGGGUAGCGAACAGGAUUAGAUACCCCAGUAGUC